rnacentral:tRNA from 1 species
GCUCCAGUGGCGCAAUCAGUUAGCCUUGGGUACUUAUAAUGCCGAGGUUGUGAGUUCGAGCCUCACCUGGAGCA